rnacentral:tRNA from 1 species
UAUGUGUUGGUGUAAAUUGCACUUAAGAUUUUGAUUCUUAAGGAAAGAGUGAAAUUCUCUUAUACAUAA